rnacentral:rRNA from 1 species
CAGUCGCCGCGGUAAUGCGAAGGGUGCAAGCGUUACUCGGAAUUACUGGGCGUAAAGCGUGCGUAGGUGGUGGUUUAAGUCCGUUGUGAAAGCCCUGGGCUCAACCUGGGAAUUGCAGUGGAUACUGGGUCACUAGAGUGUGGUAGAGGAUAGUGGAAUUUCCGGUGUAGCAGUGAAAUGCGUAGAGAUCGGAAGGAACAUCUGUGGCGAAGGCGACUAUCUGGACCAACACUGACACUGAGGCACGAAAGCGUGGGGAGCAAACAGGAUUAGAGACCCCUGUAGUCCCUGUCUCUUAUAC